rnacentral:misc_RNA from 1 species
GAACUGCGAUAAGUAAUGUGAAUUGCAGAAUUCAGUGAAUCAUCGAGUCUUUGAACGCACAUUGCGCCCCCUGGCAUUCCGGGGGGCAUGCCUGUCCGAGCGUCAUUGCUGCCCUUCAAGCCCGGCUUGUGUGUUGGGUCGUCGUCCCCUCCGGGGGACGGGCCCGAAAGGCAGCGGCGGCACCGCGUCCGGUCCUCGAGCGUAUGGGGCUUUGUCACCCGUUCGAUAAGGACCGGCCGGGCGCCAGCCGGCGUCUCCAACCUUUUUUUCUCAGGUUGACCUCGGAUCAGGUAGGGAUACCCGCUGAACUUAAGC